ensembl:rRNA 5_8S_rRNA 5.8S ribosomal RNA
AAGUGCAUAUGGUGGAUGCCUUGGCGAUCACAGGCGAUGAAGGACGUAGUAGCCUGCGAAAAGCUGCGGGGAGCUGGCAAACAAGCUUUGAUCCGCAGAUGUCCGAAUGGGGAAACCCACUCCGCAAGGAGUAUCCCUGACUGAAUACAU